GACAGAGGGGGCAAGCGUUGCUCGGAAUCACUGGGCGUAAAGGGCGCGUAGGCGGGCGGUCAAGUCGGUCGUGAAAUCUCCGGGCUCAACCUGGAGGGGUCGGCCGAGACUGAUGGUCUUGAGGGAGGCAGAGGAGUCUGGAAUUCCCGGUGUAGCGGUGAAAUGUGUAGAGAUCGGGAGGAACACCGGUGGCGAAGGCGGGGCUCUGGGCCUUUCCUGACGCUGAGGCGCGAAAGCGUGGGGAGCAAACGGG
rnacentral:rRNA from 1 species